rnacentral:rRNA from 1 species
GUCGAGCGGACAGAUGGGAGCUUGCUCCCUGAUGUUAGCGGCGGACGGGUGAGUAACACGUGGGUAACCUGCCUGUAAGACUGGGAUAACUCCGGGAAACCGGGGCUAAUACCGGAUGCUUGUUUGAACCGCAUGGUUCAAACAUAAAAGGUGGCUUCGGCUACCACUUACAGAUGGACCCGCGGCGCAUUAGCUAGUUGGUGAGGUAAUGGCUCACCAAGGCAACGAUGCGUAGCCGACCUGAGAGGGUGAUCGGCCACACUGGGACUGAGACACGGCCCAGACUCCUACGGGAGGCAGCAGUAGGGAAUCUUCCGCAAUGGACGAAAGUCUGACGGAGCAACGCCGCGUGAGUGAUGAAGGUUUUCGGAUCGUAAAGCUCUGUUGUUAGGGAAGAACAAGUACCGUUCGAAUAGGGCGGUACCUUGACGGUACCUAACCAGAAAGCCACGGCUAACUACGUGCCAGCAGCCGCGGUAAUACGUAGGUGGCAAGCGUUGUCCGGAAUUAUUGGGCGUAAAGGGCUCGCAGGCGGUUCCUUAAGUCUGAUGUGAAAGCCCCCGGCUCAACCGGGGAGGGUCAUUGGAAACUGGGGAACUUGAGUGCAGAAGAGGAGAGUGGAAUUCCACGUGUAGCGGUGAAAUGCGUAGAGAUGUGGAGGAACACCAGUGGCGAAGCGACUCUCUGGUCUGUAACUGACGCUGAGGAGCGAAAGCGUGGGGAGCGAACAGGAUUAGAUACC